UACGUAGGGCGCAAGCGUUGUCCGGAUUUAUUGGGCGUAAAGAGCUCGUAGGCGGCUUGUUGCGUCGACCGUGAAAACCCGUGGCUCAACUGCGGGCUUGCGGUCGAUACGGGCGGGCUAGAGUUCGGUAGGGGAGACUGGAAUUCCUGGUGUAGCGGUGAAAUGCGCAGAUAUCAAGAGGAACACCUGAGGUGAAGACGGGUUGCUGGGCCGACACUGACGCUGAUGCGCGAAAGCCAGGGGAGCAAACGGG
rnacentral:rRNA from 1 species